AGUGGGGAAUAUUGGACAAUGGGGGCAACCCUGAUCCAGCAAUUCUGUGUGCACGAAGAAGGUUUUCGGAUUGUAAAGUGCUUUCAGCAGGGAAGAAGAAAGUGACGGUACCUGCAGAAGAAGCGACGGCUAAAUACGUGCCAGCAGCCGCGGUAAUACGUAUGUCGCAAGCGUUAUCCGGAAUUAUUGGGCAUAAAGGGCAUCUAGGCGGCCCUGUAAGUCUAGGGUGAAAACCUGCGGCUCAACCGCAGGCCUGCCCCGGAAACUACAGGGCUAGAGUAUCGGAGAGGUGGACGGAACUGCACGAGUAGAGGUGAAAUUCGUAGAUAUGUGCAGGAAUGCCGAUGAUGAAGAUAGUUCACUGGACGGUAACUGACGCUGAAGUGCGAAAGCUAGGGGAGCAAACAGGAUUA
rnacentral:rRNA from 1 species